CAAUGCCGCGUGUGUGAAGAAGGCCUUCGGGUUGUAAAGCACGUUUUGGCGGGAGCGAAACGGCGUUUGCUAAUACCAGACGCUAAUGACGGUACCCGCAGAAUAAGCACCGGCUAACUACGUGCCAGCAGCCGCGGUAAGACGUAGGGUGCGAGCGUUAAUCGGAAUUACUGGGCGUAAAGCGUGCGCAGGCGGCUUUGUAAGACAGGUGUGAAAUCCCCGGGCUUAACCUGGGAACUGCACUUGUGACUGCAAGGCUAGAGUGUGUCAGAGGGAGGUGGAAUUCCGCGUGUAGCAGUGAAAUGCGUAGAUAUGCGGAGGAACACCGAUGGCGAAGGCAGCCUCCUGGGAUAACACUGACGCUCAUGCACGAAAGCGUGGGGAGCAAACAGGAUUAGAUACCCUGGUAGUCCACGCCCUAAACGAUGUCAACUAGUUGUCGGGGAUUCGUUUCCUUGGUAACGCAGCUAACGCGUGAAGUUGACCGCCUGGGGAGUACGGCCGCAAGGUUAAAACUCAAAGGAAUUGACGGG
rnacentral:rRNA from 1 species